rnacentral:rRNA from 1 species
UACGGGGGGAGCAAGCGUUGUUCGGAUUUACUGGGCGUAAAGGGCGCGUAGGCGGCGUGGUAAGUCACUUGUGAAAUCUCCGGGCUUAACUCGGAACGGUCAAGUGAUACUGCUGUGCUAGAGUGCGGAAGGGGCAACUGGAAUUCUCGGUGUAGCGGUGAAAUGCGUAGAUAUCGAGAGGAACACCUGCGGCGAAGGCGGGUUGCUGGGCUGACACUGACGCUGAGGCGCGAAAGCUAGGGGAGCGAACGGG